rfam:Picea glauca, whole genome shotgun sequence.
GUCGUUGUAGUAUAGUGGUGAGUAUUCCCGCCUGUGAUGCGGGUGACCCAGGUUCGAUCCCCAACAAUGGUG